UACAGAGGUCCCAAGCGUUUGUUCGGAUUUCACUGGGCGUAAAGGGUGCGCAGGUGGCUUGGUAAGUUUUGAUGUGAAAGCUCAGGGCUCAACCCUGAAAUGGCAUUUGAAUACUAUCGGGCUUUGAGGUUUGGAGGGGGACUGGAAUUUCUCGGUGUAGCAGUGAAAUGCGUAGAUUAUCGAGAGGAACACCAGUGGCGAAGGCGGCGACCUGGACCGAUACUGACGUGAGGCACGAAAGCGUGGGGAGCAAACAGG
rnacentral:rRNA from 1 species